rnacentral:rRNA from 1 species
GACGAACGCUGGCGGCGUGCUUAACACAUGCAAGUCGAACGGAAUCCAUGGAAGCUUGCUUCCGGAAGAUUUAGUGGCGAACGGGUGAGUAACACGUGAGCAACCUGCCCCGAAGCGGGGGAUAACUCAGGGAAACUUGGGCUAAUACCGCAUACCUUCAUUAGAUCGCAUGGUUUGAUGAAGAAAGAUUUAUCACUUCGGGAGGGGCUCGCGGCCUAUCAGCUUGUUGGUGAGGUAACGGCUCACCAAGGCUACGACGGGUAGCUGGUCUGAGAGGACGAUCAGCCACACUGGAACUGAGACACGGUCCAGACUCCUACGGGAGGCAGCAGUGGGGAAUCUUGCGCAAUGGGCGAAAGCCUGACGCAGCAACGCCGCGUGCGGGAUGAAGGCCCUCGGGUCGUAAACCGCUUUCGACAGGGAAGAAAAUGACGGUACCUGUAGAAGAAGCCCCGGCCAACUACGUG